UACGAAGGGUGCAAGCGUUACUCGGAAUCACUGGGCGUAAAGCGUGCGUAGGCGGUUCGUUAAGUCUGCUGUGAAAGCCCUGGGCUCAACCUGGGAACUGCAGUGGAUACUGGCGGACUAGAGUGUGAUAGAGGAUGAUCGGAUUCCGGUGAGCGGUGAAAUGCGUAGAGUGUCGGGAGGAACACCAGUGGCGAAGGCGGGCUCUCGUGGCAGAUCGUGACGC
rnacentral:rRNA from 1 species